rnacentral:rRNA from 1 species
AUUGAACGCUGGCGACAGGCUUAACACAUGCAAGUCGAACGGCAGCACGGGAGCAAUCCUGGUGGCGAGUGGCGAACGGGUGAGUAAAGUAUCGGAACGUGCCCAGUCGUGGGGGAUAACGUAGCGAAAGUUACGCUAAUACCGCAUACGAUCUAUGGAUGAAAGCGGGGGAUCGCAAGACCUCGCGCGAUUGGAGCGGCCGAUAUCAGAUUAGGUAGUUGGUGGGGUAAAGGCUCACCAAGCCGACGAUCUGUAGCUGGUCUGAGAGGACGACCAGCCACACUGGGACUGAGACACGGCCCAGACUCCUACGGGAGGCAGCAGUGGGGAAUUUUGGACAAUGGGCGAAAGCCUGAUCCAGCCAUGCCGCGUGCAGGAUGAAGGCCUUCGGGUUGUAAACUGCUUUUGUACGGAACGAAAAGAUUUGGCCUAAUAAGCUGAGCUCAUGACGGUACCGUAAGAAUAAGCACCGGCUAACUACGUGCCAGCAGCCGCCGUAA